UACGAGGCAGCUGUAAACAUGAAGGUCUAGAUACGAGGCAGCUGUUAACAUGAAGGUCUAGAUACGAGGCAGCUGUAAACAUGAAGGUCUAGAUACGAGGCAGCUGUAAACAUGAAGGUCUAGAUACGAGGCAGCUGUAAACAUGAAGGUCUAGAUACGAGGCAGCUGUAAACAUGAAGGUAUAGAUACGAGGCAGCUGUAAACAUGGAGGUCUAGAUACGAGGCAGCUGUUAACAUGAAGGUCUAGAUACGAGGCAGCUGUAAACAUGAAGGUCUAGAUACGAGGCAGCUGUUAACAUGAAGGUCUAGAUACGAGGCAGCUGUAAACAUGAAGGUCUAGAUACGAGGCAGCUGUUAACAUGAAGGUCUAGAUACGAGGCAGCUGUAAACAUGAAGGUCUAGAUACGAGGCAGCUGUAAACAUGAAGGUCUAGAUACGAGGCAGCUGUUAACAUGAAGGUCUAGAUACGAGGCAGCUGUAAACAUGAAGGUCUAGAUACGAGGCAGCUGUAAACAUGAAGGUCUAGAUACGAGGCAGCUGUAAACAUGAAGGUCUAGAUACGAGGCAGCUGUUAACAUGAAGGUCUAGAUACGAGGCAGCUGUAAACAUGAAGGUCUAGAUACGAGGCAGCUGUAAACAUGAAGGUCUAGAUACGAGGCAGCUGUAAACAUGAAGGAUUCUACUGUUGGAGUGCACAGAGAGGAGACACACACUCACACACACACACACACUGGUUUCUUCUCACACAGGUUGCUAAAAAUACUGUUGUUUUGGUUUGUGCACUGAAAGCCCCUGUCACUGAGGAAUGGGCUGAACUGGGGGGCCGGCCGUGUAGCUGGAAGUCCCACAUCCUACAGAGAGAGUGUCUGUCAACUGGACUGUAAACUACACAUUCCAACACUACACUACACUGGCAGCCUUGGGCUAACUAGGGUACAAAGGACAGUUAGACUGUAGUGUGUAGUGUAGUGUAGUGUAGUGUAGUGUAGUGUAGUGUAGUGUAGUGUAGUGUAGUGUAGUGUAGUGUGUGUAUGUGUAGGGUGAGUAUAGUGUGUGUGUGAAGUGUGUAGUGUAGUGUGUAGGGUGUAGUGUUGUGUAGUGUUGUGUAGUGUGUGUGUAGUGUGUAGUGUAGUGUGUAGGGUGUAGUGUAGUGUAGUGUGUGUGUAGUGUGUAGUGUAGUGUGUAGGGUGUAGUGUGUAGUGUAGUGUAGUGUGUAGUGUGUAGUGUGUAGUGUGUAGUGUAGUGUAUUGUAGUGUGUAGUGUGUGUAUGUGUAGGGUGAGUAUAGAGGAUGUGUGUGUGUGUGUGUGUGUGUGUGUGUGUGUGUGUGUGUGUGUGUGUGUGUGUGUGUGUGUGUGUGUGUGUGUGUGUGUGUGUGUGUGUGUGUGUG